rnacentral:rRNA from 1 species
UACGAAGGGGGCUAGCGUUGCUCGGAAUUACUGGGCGUCAAGGGCGCGUCGGCGGAUGUUUAAGUCAGAGGUGAAAGCCCAGGGCUCAACCUUGGAACUGCCUUUGAUACUGGGCAUCUUGAGUAUGGGAGAGGUGAGUGGAACUCCGAGUGUAGAGGUGAAAUUCGUAGAUAUUCGGAAGAACACCAGUGGCGAAGGCGACUCACUGGCCCAUUACUGACGCUGAGGCGCGAAAGCGUGGGGAGCAAACAGG